rnacentral:rRNA from 1 species
GUCCACGCCGUAAACGAUGAGUGCUGGACGUUGGCGGGUUUACCCGCCGGUGUCGUAGCUAACGCGAUAAGCACUCCGCCUGGGGAGUACGGCCGCAAGGUUGAAACUCAAAGGAAUUGACGGGGCCCGCACAAGCGGUGGAGCAUGUGGUUUAAUUCGACGCAACGCGCAGAACCUUACCAGCCCCUUGACAUGCCGUGCCACGUCCAGAGAUGGGCGGUCCUCUUCGGAGGCGCGGACACAGGUGCUGCAUGGCUGUCGU